GAGUCUAUGGUGAUGAUAAUGUUUGUGCAAAGUGGAUGCCAAGUGACUGCACAAUCAAGGUUUCUGAGUAGUUGAAAUAGAUAAGUCUUGAGUCAAUCAGUACAUCUGUACCACAUUCAUGUGGCAAAUGCUGCUUUAUGGAGAUGUUUCUAAUACUGACCUACAAUAAUUCAGCCAAGAUCACGUUUCUACUGUCUUCAGGAAAUGAGAAAAAUGAAUCCAGGAAAUUUCCAUCUUUAACUAUACUCUGUAAAUGUGCUGUCCAAUACACAGAUAGCUACUGAGCACUGGAAUAUAGCUAGUCUGAAUGGAGAUGUUCUGCACCCAGAGAAACUAUUUGGUGUAAGAAGAGAAUACAAUAUUAAGGCAUGAUGAAUACAAAGAAGAUUUCUAUUUUUAAGAGGGAGGUAUUGACUUUCAUCUGCAUCUUGAUUUAAUUUUUGUUCUGGAAAACAAAGGUCUCCAUAGGAAUUAGUAGUGAACCUCUAGAAAUACACUGGAUGAAGACCGCUAAGCCAGUGCUACUCAAAAUGUGAUUCAUAGCCUGAUACCUGCUUCUGAACUGAUACUGGAUCGCAAUAAGGGAAUUUUCUCUUGCAUAAGUACUGGAUUAGCACUUACCUAUCUUUUGAUUAGAAAUAUCAAAAAUAUCUUGCCAAAGACCUUCUUUUGAAUACUUCUAAAUAUCUACAACUUUGCAUAUUAUAAACUUCCAUUUCUUUAUGUUUUCUCUGCUAUUUUACAAAGUAAACAUACCUUAAAUCUGGAAUGCCUUUAUAUAUUUUGGAAGGAUUUUUAAAAAUUCAGUCUUAUGAAAUUUAGAAUUGAAACCAUGCCUGUAAGGAACAUUUUACUUUUGUAUCAAUAAACAUUUACAGGUGAUUGUGGAUGGAGAUAGUAGUAGAAGAACAGAGUCUGUCUGUACUACUCUUAGUAAACUACUAGGUUAUAAAUUAGGUCAUUGACAAAUAUCGACUGACUAUGCCAGGAAAAAUUUCUGCACACUAAGUCAUUAGAGGGAUCAUGUUAAGAGAAACAAAUAAAACUGCAAAUAAUUGUGGACCAAGAUCAUUUUGUCAAAUUGAAGUUGGACACAGGAUUAUGUGAGCUGAAGGAACAUUUCAAUAGCUUACAGUCGUAAGAUGGAGGUGUGGGAAUGGACACUGGUUAUCAGCAAACAUGAGACAACUUCAGUAUCUACGGAUCAACUGCCAAGGCCCACGUCCUCUGCCUGAGCUACAUUCAGUCUCCAGAGACUGGGCAGCAGACCACCAGGAACUGCUAGAAUAUGUUUUUUGAAAACUUUGCAUAUUACCUGCCACCCUUGUUAGCUUUAUAAUUUAAUUUAAUUUAAUUUUUUUAUAAUUGACAUACAAUAAUUGUACUUAUUUAUGGAGUACAUAGUGAUAUUUCAAUACAUAUAAUGUAUAGUUAUCAGUGUAAUUAGCAUAUUCAUCAUCUUAAACAUUUAUUAUUUCUUUACAUUGGGAAUACUCAGUGUCUUUAUUCUAGCUAUUUGAAACUAUAUAACAUAUUGCUAUCAUUCUCCUUCUAGUCACAUUUCCCCUCUUCUUAUUUUUGGCUGAUUUUCCCCCUGACCACCUAUACACUGCCUCAAAU
ensembl:lncRNA novel transcript